rnacentral:lncRNA from 1 species
AGGUAACGUAAUCGGUAACCGAGGCUAGAGAGGUGAGGAAAUAGAGAUAGAAAUUGGGAUUGAGAUAGAGGGAAGAGAAAUAGAGGUAGAGAGAUAGAUAGAUGAGGAUUGAGAGGUGAGGGUUAGGAAAAAGAGUUGGGAUAGAGAUAAGGGAUAGAGAAGAAGAAGGGUUUGGAGAAGAACCUUUGGGGGAGAAAUAGACUAUUUCAUUUUCAUUCAUAAUUCUGUUUGCCAUACAAUCUCGUACUUAUACUUCUCAGGAUUAAUACUGGAAUGGAAAUUACAUAAUCUCUUAGGACUAAACAGCAAAGUGACCAAAAAUGAGAUGCUGAUUGGUUGUGCUGCCAUUCGGGGUUGUUGGGCCACCUCUCUGGGCCUUCCGGUCCGGUAGUGCUAGUGAGUGGGUAAACGGGUGCCGGACUCCUCCUUCUCCGCAUCAUCCGCGACCCUGCGGGUUUUGGGCUCGCCUUUUUCCUCCGCUCCGAAGGCUUGAGGCUCCGACCCGCCUGCUCUCUUCUUCGCCCCAAAAACCAAGAUCUGUCGGACUUCUCCUCCAACCUCGGUCCUUCUUCUGCUCUCUCUCCGCUCCGAGGACACCCAAGCUCCUCCGCCCCGCCAAGGCUCCGCCCGGGCCACCCUUCGCCAGCCUGUUCAAGCUCGCCGGUCUGCUCCAUCAAGCGCGCUUUUCCUCACUUGCUGCGGCCAUUAUUUCUGCUCUUACUAUUGUAAAGUUAGACAUUUUUACUUCCUUCCCCUGCUAGCUAUUAGACUACUUAAUACUUCAGGUCAUUACAGUCCCCUCCCCUUAAAAUCAUCCUUGUCCUCAAGGAUGGAACUUGUUGAACUGGUUUGGGGCUCCCAUUUGCUUCCCUCGCGGCACAUUCUUCUUCUUCAAAAUUGCUUAUUUUAAGCCAUAUUCUAAUAGCUGUUCUGUUUUCUUGCCCCCCCUUUGCGCCGGUGUGAGGCGUUUCCAACUGUGUCCACACUCGCCUAACACCUCAGGUUGGCAGCAUGGACGGCGGCUCCUGCUGGGGCGGGGCUUACCCGUGGGACCUUCAGGCAGUCGCAACCGGCGUGCCGCCCGACUUGUUUGCUCUGAGAUGUGGCAAAGUGUAUACUGGCAAAAUGGGAGCUCUGGAAUUUUCUCCAUAGUCUUGCUGGAAUGCUUGUAGGGUAAUAAUUCUGGGUAUAUUUGUUCUUCUCCUUCAAGAACUCCCUCACUUCUUCUUUUAUCAGUAUAGUGCUUCAUUCCCUGACACCAAUUUGUAUUCGGUUGCUUCUUAAGAUUGUGCUUGACCUGAUCACUUUGCUUGCACCAACUUACAAUCAAGUUCACUCUAGCAUUCUCAGAAGGGAUUGAGGUAUAGAUUGUAGGGAAAUAACCCAAUUCUCUAUUAGAUUCUUUCAGCUUGGCUUGCUCAUAAGCCAAUGACAGUGAGCUAGGGUGAGGCAUUUUAAUAAUUGGUGCUACCCCCCUCUUAUACCAACUAACAAGGGUUGGCCUAAGGCAAACUCCUGUCGUACCAAGAAUUUGACUUAGCACUUGUACCUGCAUGUCUUGUGAUCUCUCUUGCUGCCUUAGCAUUGUUGCAAUUACCACCUCUUGUUGAUCACUGAUUUGUUGUAUCUCAAAGCAUUUCUUGUUCACUCCCAACAGAACUGCGACAAAUUCUUUCUCUUGAGUAGAAUCUUUAACUUCUCUAAGUGGCUUUUGUAUGCAAGCAUGUAAUUCCUCCAUUAUUGCUCCAGAUCUAAUCCGAUAGGGCCGAGCUUCUAUUACUUGUACUCCCUGCUUGAUUAUCAUUGGUAGCUUGAUUGGGGUGACAAGCCUUUGCGAAAAUCUUUCUUCAAUGCCAUGAGUGGUCACCUUGUUAGGUCCUGGAUCAAAAGGCACUUGCCUAUAUUCCUUCAUCCAAUCAAUUCUAAGCACUAUGUCAGAAUUUUCGAGCCUCAAUUCUCUCGAAUCAGCAAAGAAUUUGUGUCCUGGCUCCUUUCUUGCAAACUGAGGGCAAGAGUUUUCGCUUAGCACCUUGUGCUCAGGGUCUGCUAUCACUAUCAAGGGUGCAACCGUAGUAAAACUCAACUCUGGUAGCCUUUGCAAUCCCGAAGUCAAUGAGGCUAUGCAGGUUUCGAUCAUCAUUCAAAAUUAAUUGGGUUUGGUUACCUGACUCCUUGAUACUCCUAGCCUCGUAGACAUUUCCUCCUUCUACUUGUUGUGGCUCCCAUCCUUCUUCUGUUGCUGCUUCGGAUCCAGCACUCAUUUCAGCCUUUUUCUGUGCCGUUAACAUAUGUAGGGAGCUAUUCUUGCAUUGCUUCCCCGUGAUGUACUCCUCUCCGUAUUCAUCGCACCGCCCUUGCAUCUUUGUUUGCUCACUUGGUGCAGCCCCUUCUACAAGAUUAAGAUUAAGACUCUCUUCGGAAUUGUGAGUUGUAUUGGCAACAGCUUUUAUGGUACUUCCAGUUUCAGCUGAAGUAGUGUAUGCAUUUGGGGCAUUGUGGGCAGGCUUGAGUAGAGAUGGCUGUGCUGCGAGCAGCUUCAGUAGCUCUUCUGGCUUGCUAGCACGCUCGCUCCAUGCUAUCUCUGGCUUUCUAUUGAUCUCCAACUGUAGAUAAUCAUCACACUCUUUCUUUGAUCCUGCACUUCCAGCUUCAUGUAUGUGAUCAUCCUCCUGCACCAUAAUUUCAGAUCUUUUUGCGGCUUCACAAUUCUUUUGGCAGCUCUCUAUAGAAUUGGUUUGCUCGCAAGUACUAAAUUCUCGGAUUGGGUACCCCUCUUUCGCCGCUGUAAAUCUUUUACAAAUUGCAUCGGAGAACUCGCUCCAAUUCACCCUUGGUCGGUUAAAGAAAUAUGCUUGCUUCCAAAACUGUGCAUCACCCUCUAUGUGCAUGGACGCUAUGCCUAUCCAUUGUUGCUCAGGAACUUGGUAUCGGUCAAAAUACUGCUCGCAAUUUCGUAACCAUCCUUUUGGAUCUGUUCCGUUAAAAUCUGGGAAACUUAACUCCAUGUAUGGCAUGUACUGUUGCCGAUGAUUCUUCUCUGUCGGAACUUGCACUGUUAUCUCUUCUUCUCUAGCAUGCACAAAUCGGCUCCUAAUCAACUCUAGGAGUUGUUCAUGUCUGCGGGCAUUCUCCUGCAUCAUGAUUUCGUGCCUCCUUGCCUCUUCCUUUUGUAGUGCUUCAACUAAGACAUCUAACUUUUGAUUAACAACCCGAGCACUUUGUAAUGCUUCUUCAAAGCUUUGAUUAUAGCUAGUGGUUUGUUGCCGCAACCUUGUUCCAUUAGCCAUUUUGCCUUCUAUCCCUGGACAGCAACUAAUUCUUCUCUUGCCUUGGUACCAGCUACUAGUGAAUUUAAAUUCGUUGCCUCAUGCCGAACCAAUUUUGCUAAGCUAUACAAUGUGGGAUCUACCUGCUUGAGAAUUGUUCGCAGGAACCAGGUGGGAGCUUCACAAUCAAGCAGAAAUUAGCUCUGCUAGAACUGUGCGAAACUCAGAAUCAGUGUGAUUCCGCUACGGCUCCUUUUGUCGAGAUCCAGCCGAAGUCGAUUCUCGCAGCGCAGGUAGCUAUGUCGCAACUGACUCUACAAUUCUAAGAAUCGGAAUCAAGCGACUAUCGCAGCACCGAUCCCUGGGAUCUCACUUCUCUUGGUUUCGAAUUUGAACUCUUUUUUCCAAUUGUUGCCCCUCGACGCUACUGUGAUUGCUUCACUCUUGUUUGGUCUGAAAUUAACACCUGCUACAGUAAUUCGGCCGAGGUGCCAAUGAUGCUUGUCUGAGGCCUGGUGCUGUUCUAAUUGCAAUAGAACCAGCACUAGUCCUUGCUACUACCUCGGUACACCCUCGUGUGAGCCUUCUGUUGCUUAAUUAUGCUAGUUGGUUGAUGUUACCUGUUGCGCCUCCACUGUUCGAAGUAAUUCCUCAUAGGUGCUGAAACUCCAACGUUCUUGCUCCUGUUGAAUUCCCGCUGCCCACGGCCCUGGGACAGUGCCGCUCUGAUACCAAUUGUAAUAUCCCUUAUGGCUCGGAUCAGGUUCUUGGUGCUUCCGGUCGCGGAUCCGAGGUAACGUAAUCGGUAACCGAGGCUAGAGAGGUAAGGAAAUAGAGAUAGAAAUUGGGAUUGAGAUAGAGAGAAGAGAAAUAGAGGUAGAGAGAUAGACAGAUGAGGAUUGAGAGGUAAGGGUUAGGGAAAAGAGUUGGGAUAGAGAUAAGGGAUAGAGAAGAAGAAGGGUUUGGAGAAGAACUUUUGGGGGAGAAAUAGACUAAUUCAUUUUUAUU